UACAGAGGUGGCAAGCGUUGUUCGGAAUUACUGGGCGUAAAGGGCGCGUAGGCGGCCAUCUAAGUCAGACGUGAAAUCCCCCGGCUUAACCUGGGAACUGCGUCUGAUACUGGAAGGCUUGAGUAUGGGAGAGGGAUGUAGAAUUCCAGGUGUAGCGGUGAAAUGCGUAGAUAUCUGGAGGAAUACCGGUGGCGAAGGCAGCAUCCUGGACCGGCAUUGACGCUGAGGAGCGAAAGCCAGGGGAGCAAACGGG
rnacentral:rRNA from 1 species